rnacentral:rRNA from 1 species
UACGUAGGCAGCAAGCGUUGUCCGGAAUCAUUGGGCGUAAAGAGCGCGUAGGCGGUCCGGUAAGUCGGUUGUGAAAACUGGGGGCUCAACCCUCAGACGCCGACCGAUACUGUCGGGCUAGAGUCCGGAAGAGGCGAGUGGAAUUCCUGGUGUAGCGGUGAAAUGCGCAGAUAUCAGGAGGAACACCAAUGGCGAAGGCAGCUCGCUGGGACGGUACUGACGCUGAGGCGCGAAAGCGUGGGGAGCAAACAGG